rnacentral:piRNA from 1 species
UGGGCAGUAUGCAGAGCUGUCUCUUUGUGU